CAUUAUUGAAAUAAACCUGAUGGGUUGUUGCUGGUUCUCUAGGGAGCAUGUGCACACCUUGUCAUCUUUAUAUCUCCACCUGUGCACUUUUUGUAGACCUUUCAGGUCUAUGUUGCUUCAUUUACCCCAAUGUAUGUUAAUAGAAUGUUGUGCCUAUAUAAUAUAUACAACUUUCAGCAACGGAUCUCUUGGCUCUCGCAUCGAUGAAGAACGCAGCGAAAUGCGAUAAGUAAUGUGAAUUGCAGAAUUCAGUGAAUCAUCGAAUCUUUGAACGCACCUUGCGCUCCUUGGUAUUCCGAGGAGCAUGCCUGUUUGAGUGUCAUUAAUAUAUCAACCUUCUCUUUUUUGAGUUGUUUGGAUGUGGGGGUUUGCUGGCCUCUUAAAUGAUUCAGCUCCCCUGAAAUGCAUUAGCAGAACAACCUGUUCAUUGGCGUGAUAAUUAUCUAUGCUAUUGAAUGUGAGGGGCAGUUCAGCUUUCUAACUGUCCUCGGACAAUUCAUCAUUAAUGUGACCUCAAAUCAGGUAGGACUACCCGCUGAACUU
rnacentral:rRNA from 1 species